CAUAUGAGAAGUUGGUAGCACUCGCACUAUCGCUGACGUACCCUUUUGACGGUUGCUACUUCCGUAGAUCAAUCAGAAGUUGCAACGUGUGACGUACGGUGUGAAAGGCUCUCGUAUCAAAACGUAUUCUUCGCGGGAAAAAAGUAUAAAGACGACUCUGUGAAGCAGUUUUAGAUCUUCAUCACUGCACAGUUACAGUCGUCACGUGUACUAGCUCGAACCAUCGGAUAGCCAACAAACCGGAGAGAGGGUGAAGCAGACAAUUGCAUGUCCGAGCGUUGAAGACCAGGUUCCCAACGACUCCACCGGGGAAACGCCCAUAAGAACAAAAUAAAGUCGCGAACAUUCCCAUCUCCGUUCAGGCAAGAGCGCAGCUGGCCGUCGAGCGCAAGACGAAGAAGAUUUCACACCAACCAUCUGCCGUACGUUCAUAUUAAGGAAGGCACAAAACUACAAACUAGAAGCAGGCAUUCAACAACCCGCACACACAGACGUAGGCUCAUCAAAACUCAAGUUCACCGGACAGAGAAGGCCCUCGAAAGAGGGCCUUUUGUAUCAAUUGCAGAAAGCUGCUGGGCAGCAACGUAGUCCAACUAUACCAGCAGUAGCCACGCCAACGACACCGGCUCGACGAUCGCAUAGAGUGAUAGUGAUUACCCCGACCGGUCACAUGGUGUUGUAUCCUCGCAGUGCUUUUCGAAUUCCAAUUGGAAUUUAGCAGCAACGACGCUGCCGUGUGCUAGCGAAAGGGAGUGAAUGGUGA